rnacentral:rRNA from 1 species
GGAAGUAAAAGUCGUAACAAGGUCUCCGUUGGUGAACCAGCGGAGGGAUCAUA